AGGAUAUCCACAUCCAUAUUUUUUCGGAUACGAAUUCGGAUAUGGAUAUAUAUCGGAUGUUAAAAUUUUGUUACUAUAUCUGCUAAAAUUAGAUUCGAAUAUGGUCAAAUCUUUUCUCAGAUUCGAAUAUGGUUCGGAUAUUUAUGUGUAUACUAUUCCGAUACUAAUAUACACUAAGGGUGCGUUUGGUUUGCGCUAUCUUUUAAAGAUUCCUAGUAAUGGGAAUAAAAAAAUAUGACGGUGUUUGGCUAAACGCACUAAGUAAUCUAGUUGGUAAUAUUGAAUUCACUUGGGAAUAAGAUUCACCCCAAAGUACUAAUCUCAUUCUCUUGAGGGAGGGUGGGUAUCCUCAUAUUAAUGGAUUGGGGUAAUCAUAAUAUGUCUAAUCUCUUUCUUUCUUCCUACCCGCCGGCUAAUUGAUAUUAUUUUUCUUUACACUCUAACUUUAUAUCUCUCUCUAAACUUAUUUUUCUCUCUAAAAUUCAACUUUUUUUUCUCUCUCUAAACUAAGUUUUCUCUCUCUCUCUCUUUCUAAAAUUUCAACUCUCUCACUCCCUCUAAUUUCGACUAUAUUUUUCUUUCUAUUUUUUUAAUUAUGCUCUCUCUCUCUAACUUAUACUCUCUCUCCCUUUUUUCUAAAAAGAUGUUGAAACUUUUGGUAACAUUAUCUAAAAUUAAUUAAAUAAAUAAAUAAAUUAAUUGUAUAAUUUUUGUAAUAUUAAAUAACAUGGCUAAUUAAUAUUACUGUGUGAACCAAACACAGGAAUUCCACAUUCUUAGUAAUAGGAUGAAUAGUAAUAAGAUUCUCGGAUAUCUUUUAUUCCUAGUAAUCUUUUAUAAUGCGAACCAAACGCACCCUAAUAUGCAUGCAAAAAUUAAACACAAAAUAUAAAAAAAAUUAUUUUACUUUUUAACCUUAUUACUUAUCUUUAUUUUUCACCAAUAAAAUAUACAAAUUUAAUAGAAAACUCACGAUGGAUAAACGAAAAAUAAAAAAAAUAAUUACUUCAUUUUUUCACAAUAUACGUUAACCCUGACUCUUAUCUAUUACUAAAAAUCCGGAUAUCCGAAUACGGAUCUGAUUUUAUUGGAUA
rnacentral:lncRNA from 1 species